AAAUUGAAGAGUUUGAUCAUGGCUCAGAUUGAACGCUGGCGGCAGGCCUAACACAUGCAAGUCGAACGGUAACAGGAAUCAGCUUGCUGAUUUGCUGACGAGUGGCGGACGGGUGAGUAAUGUCUGGGAAACUGCCUGAUGGAG
rnacentral:rRNA from 1 species